rnacentral:lncRNA from 1 species
GCUGCGAGAGCUUCGACAGCCUCCCCUCCUUUGACAUGGUGCCCAACCUCUACUACGCUUCCAAGCUACUGCGGCACCCCCUGGAGGUUCUGCUCCGUGAUCUGACGGUUGCCCCGAGCUGCAUCGUGUCCGGCAUGUUCUACUCCUGGACUCCGGCGGUCGCUCGGGAGCUCGGCGUUCCAUGCUUCAUCUUCCAUGGCUUCGGCGCCUUUGCGCUCUUUUGCAUGCACAACCUCUACUGUUACAAGCCUCACGAGAGCGUGUCGUCGCCGACCGAGCCCUUCGCGAUCCCGGACUUGCCGUUUCCGUUCGAGAUCACGAGGCAGCGGCUCCCAAUCCAAUUCCAGUUGCUGCCUCGGUUCAUGGAGAUGUGCGAGGAGGGCAGAGAGGGUGAACUGGCGAUGGACGGCAUCAUCGUCAACAGCUUCGACGAGUUGGAGCCGGGAUACGCUGCACGCUUAGCGGUGGCCUCCGGAAAGGAGGUCCGCCCCAUCGGCCCGGUGUCGCUGUUCUGCAGGGGGAGCUCCGACAUGGCCGCGAGGGGCCAGAAGCCGUCCGUGGAAGCAAGCCGAUGCAUGCAGUGGCUGGAUUCGAUGAAGCCACGGUCUGUGGUGUACGUCAGUUUCGGCAGCCUGGCCAGAUUUGCGCCCGCUCAACUGAUGGAACUCGGCCAUGGGCUGCUCGCUUCAAGACGACCCUUCAUCUGGGUCAUCAAUGGCGCGGAAUCGCUGUCAGAGGAAGUGGAGCAGUGGCUGCAAGAGAAGCUUGAGAUCAAGGAGGUCGACUCAAGGUGUCUCUUGAUCCGUGGCUGGGCGCCGCAGGUGAUGAUCCUGUCGCACCCGGCGGUGGGAGGAUUCAUGACGCACAGCGGGUGGAACUCGACGCUGGAGAGCGCAAGCGCGGGCGUGCCGGUGGCGAGCUGGCCGCUGUUCGCCGACCAGUUCAUCAACCAGAAGCUGAUCGUGGACGUGCUCGGGAUCGGAGUCGCGGUCGGCGUGGACACUUCCGUGGAGCUGAAGCAGGCGCCGGAGGACGGGGCGUCGGUCACGAGGGACGAAGUGGCGGAGGCUAUCGAGAGGUUGAUGGGGGGAGGGGAGGAGGGAGAAGAGAGGAGGAGGAAAGCCAAAGAACUCGCGGAGGAAGCAAGAAAAGCUGUGGCCAAGUGUGGUUCUUCCUACGAUAACUUGACGCUGCUGAUUGAAUCUGUAGCACAGAAAGCGAAGAAGAAUUAAUCCGGAGAUGAAUGCUUUAUUUGAAGGAUUAGAUGAUGAUGAUGAAGAGAGUUCUUCUGUGAUCAAUAUCCAAAUCCUUCUUAGAUCCGACAUCAAAGAAAUGGUUGUCUACAUUCCUUGUUUCAUUCAUGCAUUCAUUUCUCAUGAAUGGGUUGGUCAAACAGAGUCUUACCUAGAACAUUAAUAUUAAUCUUGUGGUGGUGUUAUCAUCAAGUCCUUUUGAUCACGACAUUAUUUUAUGACUGGACAUGUAAGCGUUUGGGAAAUUGGCACCAAUCACCCAUCUACAUCGUACCAGUGUUGACUCAAAGUGGGCCAGACAAAGGGUCAACCGGGCCCCACGAGAAAACCGCCUCCUGCAUGUUCUACGUGGGUGAGCCGGGCCCACCGCCACGCCGCGUUCGCUCAUUGGUGCAGACGCAUGAAAGGACUGCCCCGGGCCCCUCUUUCACCUACUCGUAGGGCUGGUGGCGCAGGUACGGGUGUCGGCCCGUGCGGUGCCUGUAACCCCAGAUCGCACACGUGUACGGACCGAGACGAGCGGACCGACGCGCAGAUCAUCGGGAAGAGCGACGAAAACCCGGAAACGGAGUGUUAGCCGUCCGAUCGUCGAUGAACGGAUGAGGUCAAGGACCGCCGGCUCUACUGGACCCGUACAUCGUCCUCGCGCGAGCGAUCCAGGAAGGACACGCAUCGCCUGGUGCCUGUCAAAGCUCGCACGUGCGGCUUCUCUCUUGAGGACGCCCCGCCUGUACGUUUCCCACCUCUCUCUCUCUCUCUCUCUCUCUUCUUUCUUCUGCUUCAUGUAUCACUAUGGUUCUCUUCGUCUUCUCUUCAGUCUCUGUUCGAUUUUGACUAUCGAAAUGGUUCCAUCUUCUUCGCUUCUCCUCCUUUUGUUUUAGCAAUAGCAUGAUUACUGAAAUCUUUUGCAAGACAUAUCCUCCUUUUACCAUUCAAACAAAGGAAUGGCACAGGAAGGGCUGCGAGGAAGGAUAUGCUACCAAGAUCAUGAUCAUGCUCUUCCACGGCUUUCUUGAACUGUGAGCUAUCUUUGCUUCCACUGCUUUCUCGUUACUCCUCAAAAGAGAGAAAGAGAGAGAGAUAUAUAUAUAUAUAUCUACAAAUACGGAGGAGGUGAAUCAGCGCAAAGUUCAAGAAAUGCGUGGGAAAACAUGGCAGAUCUUUUAGAGACUUCCAUUCUCUACAUGAGGAGAAAGACAGGUCAGUGGUAACAUGUGCAGUGUUUACUUCACAGAAUCUGCUGUUUUCGAUCCUCCAUUGUUCUUGAGCUCGACUGAUGUUUUCCAUCUCAAGUGCUUUCCUUGAUCUAAUGCACGAUUUCCACAUUGACCAUCGUAAAGUAAGUAACACGUUGGAUUUAGCAGCACCUUUUAUUCAUAGAAAAUUGAUCGGACAUGGUCAAUGAUUCUGCAUAUCUUCUCUAUCUAUUUUAAUCGGCUAAGAUAGAUCUCAAAUCGGCUAUCAGAUCUGAGACCUAUCAAUACGUCAACCAAUUCGGAUAUCGAAUGUCCCGCCGAUUCGCUUAGUCAACUUCGCUAUCUAUAUUAAUGUGGUCAAUGCCCAUAUAAAGGCCCACGAACACGAGUUCGAGCCCGAACGGCCCACCUAUUAAGCCCAUUUGCAUGUUUCGGUGACAUGAGUUAUAUCGAUGUUGCCACGCCCGUGAUCUUGGCACAGGAUUUGCAUGUGCCGGUAACUUGACAGGAGUCCCAACCACGAAGCUUCCUCGUCGGCAGAGCACAAGGAAUCUCGGGAAGAUAACCUUACUGCUCACCUCUCAGGGAACUCGAUCCUCUUCACGUGAUGGUCAUUGGAUCUGCAGACAGAGCCAGCCUUUGAGGUAUGGAUGAUCAGCUUUAACUAGUACAGCUAUGGCCUGAGCUGUGAUACCUCCACCUCACCAUCUCACACGGAAGAGCUCCUUCCUGGUACCUGCUUCCUGCUUCGUCGUCCUCUAUAAAUUCUCAGAGCAGCCACCACUCUUCGCAUCGAUCGAUCGAUCUCGAUCUCCCCUUCCAUGGCUCCCUCCACGCCCGUCGUCGCCGGCCUUCUACUCUUCCUGUUCGGGGUCUGCCUCGUCGAUUCGCGCUCCGUCUACGACCAUCAUCACCAUUCGGUUGUGGCCAACGGAAGAUGGCUUCUCCAGGCGGCGCCGGCCGUCACCAUCGGUGACCUCUUCGGGCUUCGCUCAUGGCUUCCACUAAAUGGCGAGCGAUCGUCAAACUGAUGACACACAUGGGUUUUGGUGGUGCAGACUGCGGGGCGAAGUGCUCGGUGCGCUGCAGCAAGUCGUGGAAGCGGAAGAUGUGCAACAAGUUGUGCGGGGUUUGCUGCAGCAAGUGCAACUGCGUGCCGCCGGGCACGUCGGCGGAGACACGCGCCAUGUGCCCCUGCUACGCCACCAUGACCAACCCUCGCGGCAAGCUCAAGUGCCCGUAGAAUGCAUCCGUGGGUGGCGCCAUUCGUCUUUGUGCGGUUGCUGGUUGCGCUUCUCCGCUGUGGUUCGUCUCCCUUCUUCCUUUGUGAUCUCUCUGCUGUGACUCGAUGCAGUUGAUGGUGUGAUCUUAGAGGCAUCAGAUGGUGGUAGCUGCCUGAGAGCAGAUGGAGGGGUUCCAUGGAGUGUGUCUGUAGUAUGCAACAGAGCAAAGUUGGAAUAAACCAUUUGGAGCUAGUGGGUCCCAUGCUGCAUCUCACAUGAAGAUUUCCAGGGAAUCUUACAAUAAACUUUUUUAUAAUAUAAAUUAUAUGAUAUUUUAAAUUUUAUUAGAUGAGAUUAUCAAUCUUUUAAUCAUAAUAUUUUUAAAAAAUAAAUAAUAAAAAUAAGAUUCAAGGUCUUUAUCAGCUAAACUAGUCAAGUAAUUGAUAACCAAUAUCUUAAAUGUAAAAUAUUAAGAAAUAUAUUUAAUUAAAAUUAGGAAGAGAAAAGCUAUUGUGUUGUAAAAUGGAAAGAAAAAAAAAUAAUGCUAUUAUUUUGUGGGUCAGAAAUAUACUACUGAAUGAAUUUGAAAACAUGUGUUGGUCAAAUAUUUUUUAUAUUAUUAUUAUACCUACAAAUUUUCAUGUAUGGUUUUAAUAUGGAUAUAAGAAAAAAAAACACAUAGAACAAGAUGAAGUCCAAAGUAGAAAAAACUCCAAAUAAGAUCACAUGAUUUCGCCAUAGAAUGUCACAAUGUUUGUAUGGGCACCAUAAUAGCUAGACAACUUUAGAGGAAAAGAAGGUAGAAGAUCAUAAAUAAUGCAAUAUUUCCAAUUCAACAGUAAAUUGGUAAAGAAGAUCAUAAUUAUUCUUCCAGUGGUAUGAAUAAUUAUUUUCGGAUAAUUCAUUGAGAAAAAUCUCACAAUUCACUUUUACCAUAUGACACCCUGCAUAUUCAUUUAUAUAUAUAAGUGCUCAUGUUAUUUAGAUAAAAAUACCCUUAAAUCUUUUACUAAAAUGAUUUGAUCAUGAACAUCAGCACUUGUAAGAAGUUCUCUCUCUUAAUAAUUAAUUAUCAUAAUUUUUAAAAAAAUAAUACUAAUAAUCUUAGAACCAUGUCCUAAUUAAUUAUUAUUAUUUUUUAAUAGCACAUGUGAUCAAGUUAUUUUAGUAAAAGAUUGACAUCAUUUUUAUCUAAAUAUAAAAAAACAAAUAUGAAGGCAUCAUCCAAUAAAAAGUCAAAUAAUGAAAUUUUUUCUAAUAAAAUACUCAUUUUUUAACUCGCAAUAUUAGAAUUUCUACAUAAACGUCAACAUGGAUUUUGAUAACUGAUCCAAAUGGAUCAAUCAGCACAAAUUGAGGAUUAUAUGUGGAAAAAACUUGCAAGCAGUAGUGGGUGAGAAAUCUUAAAAACCGAACCGGGAUCUAAUCGAACCUAAAUCAAACCGGCCGAUGAAGCGGUUUAUUUGGUCUCUCGAUUUCAUUACGGGCCAUUUGCCACAUCAUCAUCCCAUCGUGAGCUUCUUCGUGGGUUGGGUUGGGUUGGGUUGAAGCAUUUAAUAUUAGCCGAAGAUCCAAUUCCCAAUGUUUGGUAGCAUCCGAUAAGUUAGAAAUCGAAUCGGGUUAAGUUAUUCAUACCUAACACAGCAUCGCUCCACCUAACGAUGGCCUCCGCCACUCAGUCUUAGCUUCUCUUCCUCCAAUAAGUGUGUAUUUUACGUACCUCGUUGAACACGAGAUGUCAGUGGCCAGUAUCGGUUUAAUUAUGGCUUAAACUUGGCUCAAAUUAACCCACCGAUGGGUUCUCUCUGACAUCGUCCCCAUGUGGGAUUUCAUUUCAUUACACCACGCUGCACGUUUUAGAUCUCCAUUAAUAAACAAGCGGAUGCAUGCAAAGUGUGUUCGAUGAAUAAUUGCAAGAAGACUGAUGAGGUACAAAGUUGGUGCGAAGCAUCCGUCCGAGUAUCAUAAACCAACGGUCUCUUAAUUUACGUGCUUGUCAACGUCUGACACGCGCAACGUUGGAUGCUGCAACACGUGAUUGGUUUCCCGAGUCACCCCCACACGAUCACGUGAAUCACGUCAACUAGCUCGAGGCAUGAAUGCGAAGCCAUCCCGCACCGUCUUCCCUUCCCUCGGCGUUUAUAUAUGGAGCAUAGCUCACUGGGAAGAGGGAGUGCAGUGCGUGAAGCAAUGGCAACGCAGACUUCCGUGGUGCUUUGGGUCCUCGGCGCCGUGCUCGCCCGGCUCGUCGUGCCGAGCGCGAGCACGGAAAGCAACGUGCUCUACUCUAGCGAGAGUCUGAUGCACGGCCAGCACCUUCGGUACAAGCAGUACUCGUUGGUCAUGCAAGAGGACUGCAACCUCGUGGCGUACGACAAUGGCAACCCCACCUGGGCCAGCGGCACCUGGCACAAGGGCAUAAACUGCUACCUCCAGCUGCAGUCCGACGGUGAGCUCAUCAUCUUCGGCUACAACAGGUAUACGCGCGUCGGACCGUCCGAACUCUGGAGGAGCAACGCCAAGUCGUCCCCCGGGAGCUACGCCCUCGUCCUCCGGUACGACGGGAGCCUCCACGUGUACGGACCGGCGCGGUGGUCGGUGCCGAGGUUAACCGGUGGAGCGGGCGCUCCGGGAUCCACUUGGCCGGCCACGACCGACGCCGUGCUCUACACCAACGACGUGGCUCCGAUCGGAGUCACCAUCGUCAACGGCGUCUACGAGCUGGCGCUGCAGGACAACUGCAACCUGGCGCUGCGCAACACCGGGGACGACGGAGUGCUGUGGCAGACGGGGACAAGCAACGGGCUGCACGACUGUUUCGUGACGUUGGAGCCCAACGGGGAGCUCAAGAUCAAGUACAUGGGCGGGGAGACUCUGUGGACCAGCGGGGUGGCGUCCGACUCCGGGGAAUACGUCCUCGCGCUCGGUCCCCGCGGUCAGCUCGUCGUCUACGGCCCAUCGUUGUGGAACACGCCGAAAGCAGGAGUCCUCGCCGCCGGCGUCGAGACGUGGGGCUCGGCUGGGAACACGACAAGCACCGCUCUGACAGACGAGUGAAGUCUCUCAUCCAUGUCGCUAUAAGAAAAAUGUAAAACACGUGUCAGUCUUAUCCUCUAGUGGUGACGGAAAUUUCAUUUCCUCAUAAUAAAUGCUUAUAGCGACGGAAGACCAGCAAUCUACCAAAUAAAAUACUAAUGAUGGGAUAAAAAUAGAACUUAUAUACAAAUAAAGACAAAUCAUAAUAAAAUAAAAUAUUAAAAUUUACGUAAAAAAAAUUCUUUUAAUAUGAAAAAUAAAAAUUACAGAAUAAAUCAGAAAAAAAUUACUAUAAAAAUAAUGAAUGUACAAAUCAUAAUCUUUUUAAAGAUAAAUGAAAGUUGUUUCUAUUUGAACAAUAUAGAAAACGGUAAUUUCUCGGAUCAAAUAUUUCUUGCUUAAUCGUAGACGAAUACUUGCAUGUAUCCAAUAAUUAGGAAAGAGCUAAAAGUAGGCUACAAGUUUUGCAACCAAGGGCAAAACAGGAGCCGGGUGUGACACUUCAAUGUGAAAUCACAAGAUAGAAAGAAAUGAUCAUCAAUGUUGUCACAGAGUCAAAACCCAAAGCACAGGAAUGUGUUAUCAAAAGGUCAGAAAAGCCGAAUUGUAAAGAAAAUAAACAAAUAGAAGAGAGAGAGACAGAGAGAGAAGAUGAGGAGCAAAAAGGGAAAAUGAAGAGCUAAUAGUUGCUGCAAGUUGAAGUUUCGUCGACCAACUUGGAAUUCAGUGAUAGUUUGAGAAUCAAAUAUAGAAUUAACCAUCACUCAUUAAAAACUGCAACUCAUGCCAAAACUAGAGAAUGCUACAUCACUUACAAUGGGUCCUAGAAGCAAAAUAAGAGAAACCAACUCUUUUUUUGUUUUUUGUUUUAAUGGAUGGGUAGAUGGAGCAACACCUGCAUCGGCAGAGGAAAAGUGAAAGAGAAAAUAAAAGAAAUCAAGUGAAAAUUAUGGGAAGUUGACACUAUAUAUUUUGGAUGAUGUAGGAAAGUGACUUCAUUCUCCUACUAUUCUGUCUUUGGCUGCCAAUAUAUUUCUUAUGCCUCCAGAGUUUUAUUGUGCUGUUGUUGACAUUUUUUGAUUGAUUGUAACAUCAUAUCUGAAAACCAUGAACUUUCAAGAGAUCCCACAAGAAUGUAUCCACCCAUUGCCCAAGUAAAGAAUAAGAUUAUCUGUUUGUCUGUCGCAUGCUCCUUUGGGCACACAAAAUCUCAGUAAAACAAACAUGUUUUGAAAUACCCACUUUCAAUUUUCUGAUUCUUAUCAAUCACCCACAAACCAAAACCAUUCCUACUUGUCUGCUUCUAGCAAGGUUGUGACUUGUUUACAUUUUCCUGAGCAAAUGUAAAUAAAUAUGCCACUAUUAGACAUGGAUGAAAUUCUAGAUCCUUCAUGCCACUCUCUUUUGACUUUGAAACCUAAAUGAUACAAGUACUUGUUCAUCUGACCCACCUAUCGAACAUAGCUCAAAAUUCACCCAAACACUCUAGUACUGUAUUUCACACUGCAUUGCAUUUAUAUCCUGAGCUUCAGACUACCAAUAUCUUUAGACCCUUCAUGAUUGAUAAUAGAAACAUCUUGCACAAAUUACACCAAAAUCUACAAAAUUUCUGUAUUUUUCAUAUCAUGAAUUUUGAAGUAAAAGAUAUGACAUACUAUUGUCUUACCCUUUGAACAUGCUGUAGAAAUUGUGUGGAUUGACAUAGAUUUUUGUGAUGUCAAUGGUCAUACUUUGUUGUUCACAAAGCACCUACAAUGUUUC